CGGGCCUCUUGCCAUCAGAUGUGCCCAGAUGGGAUUAGCUAGUUGGUGAGGUAACGGCUCACCAAGGCGACGAUCCCUAGCUGGUCUGAGAGGAUGACCAGCCACACUGGAACUGAGACACGGUCCAGACUCCUACGGGAGGCAGCAGUGGGGAAUAUUGCACAAUGGGCGCAAGCCUGAUGCAGCCAUGCCGCGUGUAUGAAGAAGGCCUUCGGGUUGUAAAGUACUUUCAGCGGGGAGGAAGGUGUUGUGGUUAAUAACCGCAGCAAUUGACGUUACCCGCAGAAGAAGCACCGGCUAACUCCGUGCCAGCAGCCGCGGUAAUACGGAGGGUGCAAGCGUUAAUCGGAAUUACUGGGCGUAAAGCGCACGCAGGCGGUCUGUCAAGUCGGAUGUGAAAUCCCCGGGCUCAACCUGGGAACUGCAUUCGAAACUGGCAGGCUUGAGUCUUGUAGAGGGGGGUAGAAUUCCAGGUGUAGCGGUGAAAUGCGUAGAGAUCUGGAGGAAUACCGGUGGCGAAGGCGGCCCCCUGGACAAAGACUGACGCUCAGGUGCGAAAGCGUGGGGAGCAAACAGGAUUAGAUACCCUGGUAGUCCACGCCGUAAACGAUGUCUACUUGGAGGUUGUGCCCUUGAGGCGUGGCUUCCGGAGCUAACGCGUUAAGUAGACCGCCUGGGGAGUACGGCCGCAAGGUUAAAACUCAAAUGAAUUGACGGGGGCCCGCACAAGCGGUGGAGCAUGUGGUUUAAUUCGAUGCAACGCGAAGAACCUUACCUGGUCUUGACAUCCACAGAACUUUCCAGAGAUGGAUUGGUGCCUUCGGGAACUGUGAGACAGGUGCUGCAUGGCUGUCGUCAGCUCGUGUUGUGAAAUGUUGGGUUAAGUCCCGCAACGAGCGCAACCCUUAUCCUUUGUUGCCAGCGGUCCGGCCGGGAACUCAAAGGAGACUGCCAGUGAUAAACUGGAGGAAGGUGGGGAUGACGUCAAGUCAUCAUGGCCCUUACGACCAGGGCUACACACGUGCUACAAUGGCGCAUACAAAGAGAAGCGACCUCGCGAGAGCAAGCGGACCUCAUAAAGUGCGUCGUAGUCCGGAUUGGAGUCUGCAACUCGACUCCAUGAAGUCGGAAUCGCUAGUAAUCGUGGAUCAGAAUGCCACGGUGAAUACGUUCCCGGGCCUUGUACACACCGCCCGUCACACCAUGGGAGUGGGUUGCAAAAGAAGUAGGUAGCUUAACCUUCGGGAGGGCGCUUACCACUUUGUGAUUCAUGACUGGGGUGAAGUCGUAACAAGGUAACCGUAGGGGAACCUGCGGUUGGAUCACCUCCUUACCUUAAAGAA
rnacentral:rRNA from 1 species